AACAGGAUUAGAUACCCUGGUAGUCCACGCCGUAAACGAUGUCGACUUGGAGGUUGUGCCCUUGAGGCGUGGCUUCCGGAGCUAACGCGUUAAGUCGACCGCCUGGGGAGUACGGCCGCAAGGUUAAAACUCAAAUGAAUUGACGGGGGCCCGCACAAGCGGUGGAGCAUGUGGUUUAAUUCGAUGCAACGCGAAGAACCUUACCCACUCUUGACAUCCAGAGAACUUUCCAGAGAUGGAUUGGUGCCUUCGGGAACUCUGAGACAGGUGCUGCAUGGCUGUCGUCAGCUCGUGUUGUGAAAUGUUGGGUUAAGUCCCGCAACGAGCGCAACCCUUAUCCUUUGUUGCCAGCGGUUAGGCCGGGAACUCAAAGGAGACUGCCAGUGAUAAACUGGAGGAAGGUGGGGAUGACGUCAAGUCAUCAUGGCCCUUACGAGUAGGGCUACACACGUGCUACAAUGGCGCAUACAAAGAGAAGCGACCUCGCGAGAGCAAGCGGGCCUCAUAAAGUGCGUCGUAGUCCGGAUUGGAGUCUGCAACUCGACUCCAUGAAGUCGGAAUCGCUAGUAAUCGUGGAUCAGAAUGCCACGGUGAAUACGUUCCCGGGCCUUGUACACACCGCCCGUCACACCAUGGGAGUGGGUUGCAAAAGAAGUAGGUAGCUUAACCUUCGGGAGGGCGCUUACCACUUUGUGAUUCAUGACUGGGGUGAAGUCGUAACAAGGUAACC
rnacentral:rRNA from 1 species